ensembl:lncRNA
ACCGCAGGCUGCUGACCCUGAUUCCCAGGGCUGGACACGAUGUGCUCUUGGGCUGCCUAAAAGCAUUGGCAUCUGUCGGGCGGAGCUGUCUGUCCUCCAUCUCAUGGGACAAAGCACAGCAGCCACAGGCUUCCCCAGCUCCCAGCAAAGCCUCCCUCUUCAUAUAUCCCUCCAGGCUCCAGCCCUUCCUAAUGGCUGUGUUUCCAGGAGACUUUGGAGUUUUGAACAUGUGAGAAAAGCCCUCUGUAGGGUUGGAUUACUUACAGAGUAUAAACGACGCUUGAAUGUUAAUGCACAUUUCAAAAUGAAUGUUACAGAGAGGAUGAUGAGGUUGCUAAGUGCAGCAGCGCUGCACUGAAGAUGAAUUCAGCCUGGGGUGUUUUCUUGCAAAUGUGUCACCAUCAAUCCCUGCAUAUUGCUCUGAAACACUCAAGCUUUUCUUGACACAUAAGCUGUGAGAACCCCAGAAGAGGCAGGGCGCAGGGAACAACAAGGUACGUCUAGACAUUGGAAAAGUAAACUGAUCCCUCAAAAAAAAAAAUCACCCCGAGCGUUAGCAAGACACCAACACAUACAACAGCAGGCUGGAGCUGCAGAGCAUCCCUGGAAGAGGAGAAGAUCAAGCCUGGAAGCUGCUGUCAGGGAAACCAGCAGGACUGAAGUCUCCAAUGGCCUGGGACUAAUUCAGCCCCUGUCUGUAACAGUUCGCUGGGAAAGGGGUGUUUCCAUGUGAAAAUACCCUGGGAGGUGCUCUACUGGAGACACGCUGUUUAAAAAGUGCUGGAAAAAGGUGGAAAUCAGCAGUGCCCCACUGAACUCAGCAUCCAGGCUACAGCACAGCACCUGGGAAUCUGUUCUCCAUGGAGAGACCCAUUUGUCCUUGUACAGGUGAGUGAUGUGCAGUAAUAAUGUUGAACUAGAGCCUCAGAAGAGUGGCAAAUGUUGAUCAUAUUUCUGAAGAGGUGAGGAAAAUUCCCAAAGGAUUUCAGACUUACUUUCAGGCUUGUCCUCUUUUGCUGAGCAUGCUUGCAUCCCUGCUGGCUGCUCCACACUUACCUGCACUCCGGCUGCUGCCUGGGAACACUCAUGGCUCUCUUUGUUCUUUAACACAGUGGCGCUGUGAGCUCUUCCAGUUGUAGAUGUUGUCUAAAAAGAAUUAAAGAAAUAUAUUUACAAACAUAAGCACAGAUAUCAUUUAAGACAACAAAUAACUAGGAAAAGUGAAACGGCAGUAAUUCACUCUCAUUUUUCCCCCGAUGUUUUUGAAUGCCUCAAGUUUUCCUCUUAUGGUUUAUGAUGUUAUCAUGCUCCUGUCUAAACUACUACCUUAAAAUACGUUCUAUGGGGUUAUUUCCUCCAUAAAACACUGACAAUAAUAAUUUCCCCUGUAAAACCUUCAGUUCCUCCUUGCACUGUAAUUUCGGAUCUGCCAAGCCAUCUGCACAUAUGGUUGGCGAGCAGGUACCUGCUGUCCCCGCUUACCACAAAGAUAUCCC